UACCAGCACCCCGAGUGGUCGGGACGAUUAUUGGGCCUAAAGCAUCCGUAGCCGGUCCUACAAGUCUUCCGUUAAAUCCACCUGCUUAACAGAUGGGCUGCGGAAGAUACUAUAGAGCUAGGAGGCGGGAGAGGCAAGCGGUACUCGAUGGGUAGGGGUAAAAUCCGUUGAUCCAUUGAAGACCACCAGUGGCGAAGGCGGCUUGCCAGAACGAGCUCGACGGUGAGGGAUGAAAGCUGGGGGAGCAAACCGG
rnacentral:rRNA from 1 species